rnacentral:rRNA from 1 species
GACGAACGCUGGCGGCGUGCUUAACACAUGCAAGUCGAACGGAAAGGCCUGCUUUCCCUUGUGGAUUGCGGGUACUCGAGUGGCGAACGGGUGAGUAACACGUGAGUGAUCUGCCCCCAACUUGGGUAUAAGCCUGGGAAACUGGGUCUAAUUCCCGAUAGGACUGCAGGGUGGUGCCUGUGGUGGAAAACGAUUUUCUAGUGGUUGGGGAUGAGCUCGCGGCCUAUCAGCUUGUUGGUGGGGUAAUGGCCUACCAAGGCGGCGAAGGGUAGCCGGCCUGGGAGGGUGGACGGCCACAUUGGGACUGAGAUACGGCCCAGACUCCUACGGGAGGCAGCAGUGGGGAAUAUUGCACAAUGGGCGGAAGCCUGAUGCAGCGACGCCGCGUGGGGGAUGACGGCCUUCGGGUUGUAAACUCCUUUCGACCGCGAGGAAGCCACCUGGUUGGAAGGGUGGUGACGGUAGUGGUAGAAGAAGCACCGGCUAACUACGUG